GUGAAGGUUAAAUCUCACGUGGAUUAACUAAUUACUUGCAAAUUGCAGCCUUCAGCAAUUUUUAAUAAAAGAACACCAUCCGCUUCAUGCUAAACUGUAAAAAUGGAUUUCAUUUUCAUAAUAUUAAUGUUAUUCUAUGGAACAGUGCUAUUAGAAGAAAUCCCAGAAGCAAACAGGGUACAAAUUAUAGAGCAGCUAUGUAGAGAUGGCUUCUAAUCAUAAUUGAACAUGAACAAGAACAAAUAAAUCAAGGAAGAAACUCCUCCACUUCUGCUGACCUAGAUAUGCCAGUUUUAAAGCCAGAUAAAUAUCAAGCAACCUGCAAGCGAAGUUACAUAGCAGCUGAGAGAGUGACAGUCAAGCCCAUCAUGACUGGGGACACUCGGAUACAGCAGAAGCACAGGAACUUGAUUUUGAAAUCAGAUUGCAUACUUGGAACUACCACUGUUCCCGACUUAAGCUCCUUGGCAGAGAUGCUAGCUGAAUGUGCACAUCGCCGAAAAACAUUGCCCAGACGGACGGCGGCAAAUACACUCUGGGCAAGCAACUCACCUCCCAGCUGCAGCCACAGAGCUGUGUCUGACUGAUGGAGACUGGCAGAGACUCCCCUUCAUCCAUGACUCAGCCAUCUUGUGAGGACGCCAUCUCACUAUGUGACUUCCAAGUUUGCUGCUAUAGAGGAGGAGAGGCAUGUAAGCUCACACCAGCCUUUAAGAGAAUAAUCCCAGAAAUUAUAUGUGUCUCUACUGCU
rnacentral:lncRNA from 1 species